GCCUCCAGUCCUCUUGGGCACAUGGAGAGCUGUGUGCCAUUCCUUUCACAGACUCUCAGCACUAAUUUCUGGCAUACAAGUUCAGGGAAGGUGGACCUGUGGCACUAACUCCAUCUCAAUGAGCAAAGCACAGUUCCUUUUCCCACUGGCUCUUCUCAGCUGGGCAAGAAUGAAGUCAUACCAUAAAAUGAUGAAUGAAUUCCAGCUCAAGACAUUGCUUACCACCCCUGGAGGAGGAGAAGAUGCCUCUCACAAGUAUCUACCUGCAGCAUGAAGCACAAAAGACCUGGAUGCUGCACUCCUUUGGGCGCUGUUUCAGUCUUAACUGAAAAUCACAGCUUACCAGUUCCUAGACCAUCCCAAUUGCUCAGCAUCUACAAAUCUGCAGAGACAUCCCUGGAAGUGUGAUGUUAUUGCUGAACUGCAGUGGUGAAUACAGCCAGCUACAAAGCUGUGUGAAUGAAGAAAUGAGUGGGAAUAAUUGCUUUGGUAUUACUUGAGGCUACCUUUUCCAGCCCUUUGCUCCACAUUACCUAACAGCCAGAGCUGACUCAUUGCCAUCUGAACCAUCACAGUGCUGGAGCUCAAAUAAAAUAAAAAGGGAGAUAAUGUUUAAUAAUAUGACAAUGCUUUUCUAGUCCCCCUUGCUGGCUCAUGAAAACUUGGAAUGAAGCACAGUUUUAACAGUGGAAUGCUGAAAAGUUUGCCUUGACUUUGUGCUGCAUGUUUGUGGUAGGAGUCAGCUGAUGAGUUCCUGACUGCGUGGGUCUCAGAGGGGUGAAAUUCUUGACCCUGGACUUCCCAAGAGCUUCAGAGUCAGGAUAACACAGACAUAUUGGCUGAUUUGGUUUAGUGGCACAAAAAGCAGUCAGUAGAGUAUCUGUAGAAUGGGAUGGGUUUUAAAAGGGUUAUAAAUCUUUCUUUCUAAGAGAACUAAAACUGUGCUAGGGUCCGUGUUUUGAUGGCUGACCUCAAGCUGAUCAUAGCAGGGAGAUGGCACAGGAUUUCCUUUCUAAGGGUAAAUACCAAAGAGGAGAACCUCAAAGCACUAGCAGUGUGGUAACCCCCUACCUCCUAUUAAAUUACAUUGCAGUUGGUUCAUUAUCCUUUCUGCAGUGAGCUGAAGAAAGCCAAGUACAGCCUGAUGGGCUCCUGGCUGUGAUCCCAGGGCUAGCUGGUCAUGAGAAGCUAGUACAAUUCUUGGUUUCAGUGAAUCCCAGGGCUAUGAUGAACCUCCCACACACAGGUCUCCUUGACUGUGAAAACCAUCUCUAUGCCUGGUAUAAUGGUAUUGAGGGAUGGGCUAGCAAGGGUCCAUGUCACAUCUCUGGAAAUUUCUGCUAUGUAACUUGAGAAAAGAGGCUAAAAUUUGUCAGGGAUUUCCUAAAGUCUAAGUAAUCUAAUUUUGUCUGGUUUUGAGUCUUGCAGUCUUCCUAAUGCUCAGGGAUCCUGAACAGGAGAAAACCUUUACUGAGUUUUGUCAAAACCAUGAACAUUCUUGGUCUUACGAGUACAAUUGACCCCCUUGUCUCUUUGCUGUGCCUACUAUGCUUUUUAUGUUGGUAUUUGAGCAAGGCACUCAAAUAAAGGAAGUUCUUGUAAGAAUGGGUAAUAAUAAAUAUGAGACCAUUGUAAAAAUCUGCUUUACAGCACUGACAGAUCAUUUUAAUUUGCUUUGUCUAAAACAUGAGAUGAAGGGCAAAGACUUCACAGAUGUCCAUAGUAUUGGGAAGGCUGGGGCCCAUUUCCCAGAUUAUUUCAUAUAGGCAAGUGUGCACACAUUCAGGACAUGGGAAGUUAAGAAAUUACUGGCCAGUUGCAGGUUGUAGAAGAUAUCUGUAGGUGCCAUCUGAGAUGUACAAAAACAGCUUAAAAGUGGUAAAGGUGCUCUUGAAAAUGGAAUGCAGGUACUUUUGAAAGCUUGUCUCCUGUGAUAUCCAUGCCAAUUAGUUAUGAACACUUUUCCAGCUUUAUUGUUUGAAGGUUCUUCAUCUGUGAACAUUUAUAGUUGAAGCAAUCAGGCAGCAGAUGAAAGGGCAGUACUCAAAGCUUUGAAUUUAAACAAGAGAGAUAAACAGGUAUCAAACUGUAGGUAGGUAUGUAGUUCCAGUGCUUUGAGCAGAUGAACACCUGGAUGUAAGCCAGUGUUGAAGUGUAUCUCUAACUCAAAACUCAAAGAGUAAUCACAUUAAUGUGACAGCUCAAAAUUAAGAAAAUUGCCCCAGUGCUUUGGAAUGGACAGACUGAAAAUAAAAUCAAAUUAAAGAGGCCUUAUUUGAACUAUGGCAUAAAAACUGAGAAAAACAACAAUAUUCUGGGUGCUGGAAUGCCAUCGACUGUGUUAUGUCUACCACCAGACAAGGGCAGUCGGAAGUGCAGGCUGUCAAGAUGACUGGACAAAGGGCUGGCUGGUUAGUCACUAGGUGCCAGAUGGACACCACCAACUGUCUAAAUGAUUUCUCCCUCAUUUGUAAUUGGCCUCAGUUGUGGCUGAGCUCUCUGGCUGUGCCUGCAGUUCUCAGGUCUUCCGUUGGCAGCCGCCUUGGCAUACACCCUGCAGGCAGUGUGCAAGUUCCUGUCAGUAUGACAGUCCCUGAAGGAACUGUGGGUUUUCGGUCAUGCCCUCCUCUAACAAAUUUUGCCUCAUUUGUGGUGUGGAACAUCCAUGUCACCAUUUCAUUCCACCCUCCUUUACUAUUUUUUUUUCCUGCCUGCUUCUCAUUUUCAUGUCAGCUAUUGCAAUCAGUUACAAAGAGACGUUUUCUGAUAUUGGUACAGGACUGCUGACAUUUUCCACCUCAUGCUAUUUUAAGACUGGCAAUUAGGACUAUGUAAAGAUGUCACUUUGUGCCCAAAGCAGCUGUGCCUUUAAGCAUCUCUGGCUUCUCCCUUGUGAUCCAAAUCCACACUGAGUGGUCUUGUGGCCUUCUGGCUACAGAGCUGUUCUGGUCUCUGCUCAUCACCCCACUGUCUGCCUCCUGCUAUGUGUCUGGGACUUAUAGCAUCAUGAUAAAGAAAUCUGUUUAAUAGAAAGUCCUCCUGCAUUUAUGUGCUUCUGUCUUCUUCACUGACAUGUCUUCGGGAAGUACCAAAGUCUUGAGGCCAAGAAGUCCUUCAAGACAAUUGCUGGGAAACAAGCAAGUGACUUUUCAUGCUGAGUUCAAAAAGUUCUGCAUGUAUUGUUUUGUAAAAGACUCAAAUCCUAGUCUACAAGGUGAAACUGGAGCUGCCGGAUUCAGGCUACUUUUGGAUGGCUUGACAUUUGAACUUAAAAGUGACAGGAGAAUGUACUUGCCCUCAUGUAGGUGGUUGCUCCAAAGAGCUCAGAGGUGUUGCAGAGCAUGGCUACUGCCCAGCCAUGAAGCACAAGCACAGCUCUCACUAUCAUUCUGUCUAUGACUGUCUCAGGUGGGUGUCAUUGAGACAGAAAGUAGAAACUGUUUUCACAGGUACCAGACUGACUGCCUUGCCACUCUUUUCUUGGUACUACAGUCUGCUGGGAAAGAAAGCAGAGGGGUCCUACUGUUUUUGGACAGGUCAAUACAAUUGCAAACAUCAAAAUGUCUGACAUUAAGUAGAAAAAAGAUGCAGGACAAAGGAUGAUUAUGGUUUUUGCUAACAGCACACCAGCAAAAGGUGGGAAGAGGUAUGUUCAGUUUAUCAUGUCUGUGCACAUGAUGUAGGUAGUCAUGGAUAGCUAAUUUUCACCCAAAAAUAAGUCUAGCAGUUGGAUCUUGUUCAGCCAACCUCUCAGCCAAGAACCAGCAAAUGAAUAUGGUCACUAAAUUUCCCAGUGAAAGUGGCUGAAGCUGUGCUUUACCCCACAUUUGCAGAGGGCUGCUGGUGGGCCAUAGUCCAUUGUCAUGGCUCAUCUAGGUGAUGCAAUCUUCUGAUCUGACUGUGGGUUUGAGCCCUUCUUUUUUUUCUGUUUCCAACUCCCACCUUUGAAAUCAGUACUGUAGUAAAUAUCUGCUUGAUAGUAGAGCUCUCAAAAACCGUGGUCAGGGAGACCAAGAGAAUACUGCAGAAAAAUGCAACUUUUUCUUACAGGUUGCUAAAUAUCCAGUGCCUUUUGCACACCUAUUUAUCUUUUCUUAUUUCCCCUUACCCCUUCCUCAUGCUCUUCCCACAACAAGAUUCUGUGGAAUCACACAUCACCAUGUAGGAAAUGCUUGUUUAGCAGAGUUUUUUUCCCUAAUAUGUAUAAUACAACAAACUGUCAGACAGACAUGCUAAAUAUACAUCCAUGGACUCAGGGAACACUGCAGAAAGGCAGCAAAUGCUGAAGUUAAUGCUUGUGUUCCUGCACCACCUUGUACUAUUGUGGUAUAUUCUUAUUAUGAAGGUCACAUACUAGCUUUCUUUUCUGCUUCCCAUUCCUGCUGCAUGCUGUGUGGCUUGCUUUGAUAAUUGGAAAUUGCUGCACAAACUGACUGCCACGUCCCAGGAGACAGAAGAAGGUCUAUCACAGCAGCAAAGGAUGAAAAAGAGGAAUCCAGGUCCAGAUAGUAAAGAAAAAGAAGGGAAAAUAAUAAUUAAAAUGUCUCUAUUGCUGCAUGCAUAAACAGAAUUUACAAAAGGGGACUGCUGGAGGAAGAGCUUCUCUGCAGAGUAUGAGGCCAUCUAGUGAGCUGAGGCAUUGUAACAGCUCAGCUUUUUCCAUGGCAUUUUGUCCUGCUUGUCCCCAACAGAACACUUCACAUGCCAGCUGUGAGCCAGGUAUGCACACGGAUACUUCAACAACAUUCCUCACUGCAAGGUGAAAGGAGAAAAACCCCUGCAGAAGAGGAGAAAGUGACAACAGAAAGGAUGUGGCAGAUGUCAGGGAGCUUGGCAUGUGGGUUUUUAUAGGAAGCUGGAAAUCCAGUUACACUGGCAGUGGAAGGACUAUGUGGUGUGCAACUUUUCACUGAAUACUGUCCUCAGCUGCAUAGUUGGGGAUGACAAGGGGAACUACUCAGCUGGAGGGCACUGCAGCAACUGGGGUACUGAGAAAACCUUGCCAGGAGCCCUGAGAUAUAGGGUGCUCACUAUUAUGGGAUGUCUUCCCUGACAAAAAACUACUGAGAAUCAAGGAAAUGGGACAGUGAUGUCCUAAAAUAAUUUCAAGUUCUCAGAGAACUGAUGCUUGUAUUUUAUAGGAUAUUGGACUGGUAGUCCUGGAAGGAAAAUUGCUGCAAUGCAAAGCGUCAUACCUACCAAGUCCUGUCCUGGUGCUUUGCCUCCAAGCAGACCAGACUGGUUGCCUGGGGAUGAACACAUGAACAGCUGCACUGCCCACGCACUCCUCUGCAUCCCACAUGAGGCUGCCAGGUUCUGAGAACAACAAUAAAUAUCUGGGAUUCUUGAUAGCUUUUUGUGGCUGCUCAGAGAGCCCUUGAACAUACCUGAACCCACGUCUGACUCCAAAACCCACAACCAUUGCCACACUGUCCUGGUACAAAUGUUGAUUGCUCAACCCAGGGUGCAGUGCUGGAGAAUGUGAGCACAAGACAGUAUUUCAACAUUUCUAGGUGCUAGCAUGUGAUUCCUGCCUCUUCAGCGGCGUUUUCCAACUUUCAGCAUAGGCACAAGUGGUUAUAGCAAGUUUGUCCUGUUGCAUUAGAAGUACCUCAGAAAAUUGGAAGGAAAAGACUGCAAGAUCCUCACCUAGUAAACAUCAGUUUAAUCUCGUGAAAUGUUCGGAGCCAGGUAAGCACAUGGUCCACCAGUUCUGUCUUCAGCUGACUGAAUAUAUUCACUUUCUCAUGUCUUGAAAAAUUGUUUAAAUUGUUUGACCUGCUCUCCUUCCUCAGUGGAGAACUACACAUGUUCACCAGUCUAUCUCUGGAAGAGCUAUACAUCUGGAGCUUGGUAAUUGUAAUAAUGACAAAUUGUUCCACAUUCUCUUGAAUUGUCACUGAAGCCUUGAUCUGCAAAUUUUAGGACACCAAAUUAGUUUUAACUAUGAAAUUAUUAGUCCCAGCAAAUAAGCAUGCACAGCUGGAAGCCUUUGCUACUUCAAUAAGUUUGUAUGUAUCUACAUAGGCUAUAGAGAGGAGAAAUAAAAUAUAAUUAGCUUUAUAGCAGUGUCAGUAAAUACAGUAGCACCACUGAUAGUAACAGACCCCAAGCUUUGUAAGGACUUUAUGCCUUGUCACGGUCCCUCUGUACAUGCCCCCUUUGCCUUCUGCACACGUCUGUAUGGUGUAGCUGUGAUCUACAAACAGCAGUGCCAAGCAUUUUGUUCUGCGGAGGAAAUACGUGUGAAGCCACUGUAGUCAUUCCAUGCAGAGGAACAGGGGCUUGAUGCCAAAGCUGAAGCCUGGAAAGAAAGAUGCUGUGUACUGUGAGUGGGAGGAUGUGGUGGGAUGAUGACACAGGAAAUGAGCAGGUUCACAAUGGUCAGAUAAAGACCUAGAGCUGGAUAAAACAGCUCUAGGAGCAGCAAGGACAACAAAGAAUGAGACUCAAAAGAAGCAUGGCCAGCAGGUCAAGGCAGGUGGUUGCUCCUCUGCACCUGAGUGCCACAUCCAGCUCUGUGGGCUUCAACUUCAGAAGGAUGUGUACCUGCUGGAGCAAUCCCAGUGGAGUGCCAUGGAAAUCAUCAGUGGGGUGGACCAUCAGUCCUAUGAGGAAGAGCUAAGACAGCUAUGGCUGUUCAGCCUGGAAAAGAAAAGGCUGCUGGUAGACCUUGCCUUCUAGCUCCUAAGGGAUGUUUGUCAGAAAGAUGGGGACAGACUUUUUUCAAAGUUGGGCUCAUAUCCAUAGGACAGGGGCCAAACUAGAAGAGGGUAGAUUUAAUAUAGAUACAAGGAAGAAUUUUUUGUUAUGGUGUGGAUAGAGAGAAACUGGAAUAGAUUUCCAAGAGAAUCUGUGGAUGCCUCGUCAUUCUAAGUGUUCAAAGUCAGGCUGGAUGGAGCUCUGAGCAAUCUGACCUAAGGUGAAGAUGUCAUUGCUUAUUGCAGGGGAGUUUGGACUGGAUGAUUUCAAAGGUUCCUUUCAACCCAAACUAUUCUGUGCUUCCAUGAUUCUAUGUAACAUAUUCAAUACAUAUAUGGCAGAACUGACAUGGGUUUACAGAUCCACGAAGAAAGACCAAGGCAUACAGGCUGUUAGAAAAAAAAAUAACAUCUGUUCCAAGUGGACCCCAAAUUGAGGAGAAGUAAACCCGCAAUGUCUAUAUCACAUUCCCCCUGGAAAAGAGAAGAAACCCUCACAAUCAGCAUAAUAUUUACCUUGAUGAAGAGUUUUAGAUGCUUGACAUGUAUUUUAACUAUGGCUGUGAUGGAUCCAGAGAGGUGGAAGAGUAACUCUAAGAACAGAGAAAAGGGCAAGUGCUAGGAGACAUAACAGUUGUAGCUAUUACUCUGCAGACUUUUUAUGUAAUACUGUUCCUUUUUCUCCUCCUAUAAUAUUUUGACUGAUAUUAAAAACAAGUCAGUAAUUAGACUGGUAAGAUUUGGUUACCUUAACAACAAAGUAUUGGCUUUGCACAAAAAGUCUGCUUAUUUUUCAUCCUGACAAUUAAUUGAGCACAACUUCAUCACAUUGUAGAUGAAAGAUGGAUGCCUAGCUAUUUCCCUAGCUAUUUCCCAGCUCAGUGCUUUGUGCACUACACCGUCUGUCCUGUGGUCUUUUUGUUUGAUUUGUUUUGCUUUUUGGGUUUUUGUUUUCAUUUUCAUUUUUUUUUAUUUUCUUUGAUCAGAUGGACUUUGGGUAGUACAUUUGGAAGAAUAUUUUCAAGGACUAAUUUCUCCACAGCUAAUUUAAGGAGAGAAAUAAUUUUCUAGGCCCCAGAUUUUUUAAAAAUUCCCAAAUGCUGUAACAAUACAACAGCAUGUGUGAGUUUAAUGUCACUGAAUGUGGCAGCACCCAUUAUUUCAGCCUAGAGGAGAAAGACCAAACCAACCUGCACACUGGGUUGCUGUGUCUAGGUGUAAACCAGAUGCAGGCAAGUGCCAGUGGGUAAGGGAGGAGGAAACUAGUGGGCAUUGCAUAAAAAAAAUUGAAAGCUUUUCAGGAGAGAGUCAAAAUACAGCUUUUUAGCUAUAGUUCAUUUUAAAAACACUUGUUUUAUUUAAUAGAUUCUAUUCUUUUAAAAUAAUGGUUUCCUGCACUUUCACUUCCAAAAUUCCAAAUUCACUUCCACACUUCCACAAUGUUCUAGAAAAACAAGGUAUUUUGAAACUGCAAAGUUAAGUGUUAAAAUAUAACAUCUCAGAGCCUGAAAAAUCCUUAUUUUUCUAUCCAUUGAAUUCAGCACAUGAUUUUGCUGUACCAUUUUUCAUAUUAUGGAAAACAAUAGCUUGGCUUGAAUUAAAGUUCUCAUUUCCUGCUCCUUUCAGUGUCCUCAGUCUAGGGAGCAUAUUAUACAAAUGUGAAACUUUCAGGUGUGUCAACUCAUAUAAAAAGUCUAUGUCACUCGUUAAAGUCACAUCUUACUGAUAUUUCAAAAACAUAAGGCAACAUGUGGAAGCACCAAAAAUUUCUUAUGGAGGUUUUCCUCACGUAGAAAUUCACUGUUAUAUCCUUGUUAUUAUGGUAGCAUUGUUACAUGAAAGCAACUUUCUAGUACUCCAUGCUAUAUUAAAACAUGUCUAGUAUAUAAAAGAAUGUAUCUUUUGUAACAUUGCCACUCUUUGGGUUAUUUCAGCGAAGGAUGGAUAUAUUUUGUUUCAAGAUUAAAGACUGGAAACUAUGAUAUAACAGUAGUAAUAUUUGCAUGUAAAUAAAA